rnacentral:tRNA from 1 species
GGGGCUGUGGCUCAGUGGUAGAGCGCUCGCCUAGCAUGUGUGAGGGACUGGGUUUGAUCCUCAGCACCACA